UAGAAAUGACCAAACAGGUAGACAAAACCAGCGAGUCAAGAACAGUACAAUGGGGUGAGACCCAAGCACCUUCAUCCAACCCCGGGAGGAGGGUGCGGCGGCGGGGAGCGGGGCUGCGCGCGGCGGCUUUUUCCCCCACUUCACUUUCGCAGACCCGGGUGGGCAAGGAGCGUCCGUUCCGCUGCUCCGCGUGGCUGCAGCUCCGCAAGCGCUGAGCCCCGCCGUCCGCUCUGGCCGCGGAGCCGGCCAAAGGCCAGAAAAUGCGCAGAGCGCUCGCAACCUACCCCGGAGCCGCCGGCCGCGCGUCCCGAGCCGGCCGCAGCCGCAGCCGCCGCCGCCGCGCCGCGCCCCGCCCCGCCGCCUCGCUCCCCCAGCGCCUGCGGCCGGGAAGCUGGAGCAGCCGCGCCCGGAGACCCUGCUCGGGGUGGAGCGUGCACCACCGGGGCAGUGCGUUUAGCAAACACACCUUUGCCUCCCAGCUGCCUGCACACAUGCAGGGACAAGGCAUGGAGUAUUCAAGCGCCUUUUGGAGCAAGCUUUUCACCAUCUUGUACUGCCUGACUCAGAAGAUAAGAAUGAGGGGAUCUCAGUCUUUUGACGAUGUGCCAGCUGUGCUGUGCUACCGACCCAUCCUCCAGAACUAGGUUUUGGGGUUCUAGUUCAUCUUUCUGGUCUCCAAAAACAAACAAUGGGAUCCUUUCUUCCAGAGGGCCAAAAUGGCAAUACCAUUACCAUUCUUGGAUUCCCAGGAAUACAGAGCCUCUCCCAACAAGUGUUUGCCUGGCUGUGCACAGUAAUCUCAACACCGGUGUCCCAGGAAAUGGCCCACAAUUUCACCAUAUUCAGGAAGUCCUGUUGAAGAAAUGUAGAGAGCUGUGUUUUCUUGGGAGGGUCACUGACUCAAUGACCUCCAUUUCCAGGCUGUUUGCCCAUUGUAAUCAAUUUUUCCUUCUGUUACGCACAUUUAUGAAAUAUUGGGUACCUGGCUUUUCUUAGGGAUGCAUGUCUAACUCCACAUAACUCUACAUGGUUUCAGUUGUUUACAAGGCAAUCUUGGGUGAUCCUAGCAACUCUAUUGCUGUCAUUUUAAGACCAUUAGAACCUUAGAAACGUCCUAAGAGUCCUCCUUUUUUUAUUCUUCUUGCUUAUUUUUAAAUGGAAGGAAGUCUUAUGAGGUAGCAAGGUGGUGAGGAGGAAGACACUGCUUUAGCUCCUGCUAGUUAUUCCAUGUUAUGCUUGAGCUUGUUAUUUGCAUCUGGUCUCUAUUUGUUAGCAUCAAUGGACUGUGUUUGCAUAACUAGAUCAAAUUAUGAAAGGACUUUGAUUUUGAAUGGUUAAUUCACACACACAGUCAAGCU
rnacentral:lncRNA from 1 species